AGGUGUUGAAAGAUCUGUAUUCCGUAGAAUACUCUCAAAUGUUUGCCUGUUUUCAUUUUUAGCCAUUUAGUUCUCAUGGCUCUGUUCCAGGACUCUUUAAUUUGCCAGUAGCUGUUUUCCUACACAGAUUACAGGAGUAAUUCAUCAGUGAAUGUUUCACUCAGUGGUCUCAUCUAAUAUUAAUAAAAACAAGGAGCAGUGUGCUUCCUUUACAUGUCCUUAAAGAGACUACUGAGGCCAAGGUGAAGCAUCAAGCAAUUCUGAAGUGCUUCCAAGAUAUGUUGGCUGUUCCCAAGACUCCAAGUUAUCAAUAUGGAAACCUACUUACUCUUUCUACAAGGCAAAGCUUCCCAUCCUGAAAAACAAAGGUUUCUUUGGAGCUGCAACCGAUCCAAGUCUUUGGUGCUGAGGACAACAGACAUGAACAAAACUACCAUGGCUCAGGCUUUGUGGAGCACAGGUCCUGUGGGAGAGAGAGACAAUAAACAAACAAGCAUAAAUUAUAUCGCAUGGUGAUAAGAGCCAUAGGGAAAACAAAGCAUGGUAUUGGGGGGAGUAUCUGCUGAGGGGAGGGCUCCAUGCCAUUUUAUAAAAGGAGAAUAGGGGGUCCUCUCUAAGAAAAUGACAUUUGAUGAGAUCUGAAGGAAGUUGUGAGUGAUCUAUACAGAUGUCUGCAAGAAGAAUGUUCUAGGCAGUGGGAACAAGUGGAAAAGACUUGAGACUGGAGUGUGCCUGAUAUUUUUCAUAGCUAAGUAAAGAAAGAAGCUCCAUAUGUCCAUGUGACUCACUGCUAUCUCCAUCAGUAUAUAUUGGCACCGAAUCUUGUUUUCCACUGAGAAAGUCAUUAACUUCAUCAGAAACUGAACAGGAUUGGCCAGCUUAUCCCAAAGUUUCAUCAAGAAAUGGAAGCAGAAUGUGAAAUUCCUUACUUGCAUGCCAGAGUUUUCUGAUUUUCCACAAGGCAAAUCUUGAAGCAUCUGAUUAACCUCCAUGCAGAUAUUUACAUUUUUAUUUUUAUUUGUUUGACAGAGAAAAGGAAAGACAAUUCCAAGAACAGCUUUUCAGAACAGAGUCCAUUAAUGAUAUGCCUUAUUUGGAAGCCACGUUUAGACACAUUCAUGUGGCAUAUUAUCGUACUCAAGGUCUUUCCUCACUAUCACGGAGUCUAUUGCAAGAAUACGUGCAUUCAGAGAAGAUUGGAGAUAAAGGACUAUAUAUGUCAUGGUAAUGAAGUAUUUUUACAGCCUGGAAUUAAGAAUGGCAAAGCUUCAAUGUCUCUGUAAGCAGAAAGUUGCAGAUAUACCUGGAAAUUUUAAAAACAAAACAAAACCAAAAAAAAAUUUUGAAGUUACUUCUACUUAGGGAACUGAAAUCAAAACAUGAAAUCCUUAUAAUUUUCUUGCUGACACUGGCAGCAUUCAUGUCAUAGCCCUUCUUAAAGGUAGCUUCUUUGGCUUGAGGACAAAGAAAAUGAUGUUACAUGAAUUCAGCUACUCAAUGCAGAAGCUUAGAUGGUCUCUGGAAUUCCCCAUAUAAACUCACCCUCAUCUGGAAAAGUGAAUUAUGAGAGGGUUAGUUUUAAAGUCAAAG